rnacentral:misc_RNA from 1 species
GUAAUUUAUGGAACUAUAUCUUGUAUCUUUCAUUAUAUAAUAUGGAAGCUUAUGUAUUAUGAAAACAAGUGAAGUGAAUGAAAGAUGCAGUCUUUGUGUGCUUUUCUCCCUUCCUUCCUCUCUUUCUUGUUGUUCUCUCUUUCUAAAAAUUAGCAUGGUAGUCUUUGUGUGCUUUCUCCCUUCAUUCCUCUCUUUCUUGCUGUUCUCUCUUUCUAAAAAUUAACAUGGUAUUAAAGCCUACAUAAAAUU